rnacentral:rRNA from 1 species
GAUGAACGCUGGCGGCGUGCCUAAUACAUGCAAGUCGAGCGAACGGACCAGGAGCUUUCUUCUCUGAUUUUGUCAGCGGACGGGUGCUUCACACGUGGAUGACCUACCUAUGAGACUUUUAUAACAUCGGGGAACCGUAUCUAAUACCGGAUGAUAUUUUGAACCGCAUUGUUCAAAAGUUGAAUACGGUCUUGCUGUCACUUAUGGAUUAAUCCGCGUUGCAUUAGCUAGUUGGUAAGGUAACGGCUUAACAAGGCAACGAUGGAUAGCCGACCUGAGAGCGUGGUCCGACACCCUGGAACUGAGGAACGGCCGAGACUCUUAGGGGAGGACGCAGUCGGGAAUCUUACGCGAUGGGGCAAAGCCUGACGGAGCACAGCCGGGGGAGUGAUGAAGGUCUUAGGAUGGUAAAAUUAUGUUAUUAGGGAAGAAGAUAAGUGCAAGUAACUGUGAACAUAUUGACGGUACCUAAUCAGAAAGCCACGGCUAACUCCGUG